UGGGAAUUUCGGCAUUCUGAUGUUUUUGUUUGUAGAUGUGAAUGUGGGGAUAUUUCCCCAUUCUAAUGUUAUUGGUUUUAUAUGUGUAGUGUAUGUGGGGAUUUUCCCCACUGGUACGUUUUUCAAUUCAAGAAUACUAGUUUUCUUCAUUGAGUGGGGAGAUUUCCUCAAAUUUGAUAAAAUCAUGUAAGCGCAUUUCCAUUAACU
rnacentral:lncRNA from 1 species